CCUACGGGAGGCAGCAGUGGGGAAUUUUGGACAAUGGGGGCAACCCUGAUCCAGCCAUGCCGCGUGCGGGAAGAAGGCCUUCGGGUUGUAAACCGCUUUUAGUCGGGAAGAAAAGAUCACUCUUAAUACGGGUGGUUCUUGACGGUACCGGCGGAAUAAGCACCGGCUAACUACGUGCCAGCAGCCGCGGUAAUACGUAGGGUGCGAGCGUUAAUCGGAAUUACUGGGCGUAAAGCGUGCGCAGGCGGUUCGUUAAGUUUGUCGUGAAAGCCCCGGGCUCAACCUGGGAAUGGCGAUGGAAACUGGCGGGCUUGAGUAUGGCAGAGGGGGGUGGAAUUCCGCGUGUAGCAGUGAAAUGCGUAGAGAUGCGGAGGAACACCGAUGGCGAAGGCAGCCCCCUGGGCCAAUACUGACGCUCAGGCACGAAAGCGUGGGGAGCAAACAGGAUUAGAUACCCUGGUAGUCCACGCCCUAAACGAUGCUCACUAGGUGUUGGGGAAGCGAUUCCUUGGUACCGUAGCUAACGCGUGAAGUGAGCCGCCUGGGGAGUACGGCCGCAAGGUUAAAACUCAAAGGAAUUGACGG
rnacentral:rRNA from 1 species